rnacentral:tRNA from 1 species
GAGAUAAUAGUUUAAUCGGAAAAAUUUAUUCCUGCAUAGAAUUGAUGCGAGUUCGAAUCUCGCUUAUCUCC